rnacentral:rRNA from 1 species
CAGUAGCCACGGUAAUACGGAGGGGGCUAGCGUUGUUCGGAAUUACUGGGCGUAAAGCGCACGUAGGCGGCUUGGUAAGUUAGAGGUGAAAGCCUGGAGCUCAACUCCAGAAUUGCCUUUAAGACUGCCGAGCUAGCAGGUGAGAGAGGUAAGUGGAAUUCCGAGUGUAGGGGUGAAAUUCGUAGAUAUUCGGAAGAACACCAGUGGCGAAGGCGGCUUACUGGCUCAUACUGGACGCUGAGGUGCGAAAGCGUGGGGAGCAAACAGGAUUAGAUACCCGUGUAGUCCCUGUCUCUUAUAC